rnacentral:rRNA from 1 species
GAUGAACGCUGGCGGCGUGCCUAACACAUGCAAGUCGAACGGAAAGGCACUGCUCGCAGGGUUCUCGCGUGGCGAACGGGUGAGUAACAAGCGGGUGAUCUGCCCUGCACUUCGGGAUAAGUCUGGGAAACUGGGUCUAAUUCCGGACAGGAGCCAUUUUUAGCGUGAUGGUUGGAAAGUUUUUUCGGUGUAGGCUUAGCUUGCGGCCUAUCAGCUCGCUGGUGGGGUAAUGGCCUACCAAAGCGGCUUCGGGUAGCUGGCCUGUGGAGGUGGACGGCCACACUGGGACUGAGGGACGGCCCAGACACCGAAGGGAGGGAGCAGGGGGAAAUAUUGCAGGAGGAGCGCAAGGUUGGUGCAGCGACGCCGCGUGGGGGAUAACGGCCUUCGGAUUGUAGACCCAUUUCGCAAGUGACGGAGCUUUUUGUGACGGUACCUAGUCAAGAAGCACCGGCUAACUACGUG